AGUUGAAACUUUGCUCGUGGAGCUGGGUUAUCUCAUUGAGCAUAUACCUAUCUUCAUUGGCAUUCAUUCGAAUAUUUCUCCCGGUUAACACUGUGAGGAAGUUCGAAUCCGUUACUUUGAGAAAAUUAGAGUGUUUCAAGCAGGCGUUAAGCUUUGAAUACUCCAGCAUGGAAUAACAAUUAAAGACUCAGUUCUUCUUGUUGGUUUAGGAAUUUGAGUAAUGAUUAAGAGGAACAGUCGGGGGUAUUCGUACUUGGUAGUCAGAGGUGAAAUUCUU
rnacentral:rRNA from 1 species